UCUGUGGAAAUCUGUAAUACCGGAUGACAAGGAAGAUUAUUCGAGUAUCGCCUUUGAGGCAGAUGAUCCUAACAUUUGUAAAAUUAACUCUUUCGCUCUGAAAACCGAGAACAGUUUUGUUGUGAUGAGACUGAGUUUUUGUUCUAGUUGGUUUCAACUUAAAAAGGUUAUUGCCUACUGUUUACGUUACAUGUCUAUUCUUAGAAAUCGAAUUGCUAAGGACACUAAUAUUGAAAAUCCUGUUGGACCUUUAAGGGUUAACGAACUUAAUAAAGCAGAAAUUGUGUUAUUGAAGCUAGUUCAAUCAGAAGUUUUUAGUAAGGAGUUGGAAACUUUGCGAUCCGUGAAACAGCUUCAAAAUGAGUCUAAUAGAAAUGACAUUCGUUUGCGUCGGAAGUACAUGUAUAUACAAAAGAAUUCAACUUUGAGUAAGUUAGAUCCAUUUUUGGAUGAUAAUAACCUUUUACGAGUUGGUGGACGACUUGGUAACUCAAGACUAAGUUGUGCUGAGAAAUACCCAAUUAUUAUGCCGCGUAAGUCUUUCGUGACAGAACUUUUAAUUGCUCAUCAUCAUGAAUUGUGUGAACACCAAGGUCGUGGACUUACUGUGAAUGAACUUCGUUUAAACGGUUAUUGGAUUCUGGGAUGUACCAGUGCGGUUUCGGAAUACAUUCAUAAAUGUGUUAAAUGUAGGAAAUUGCGUGGUUGAUGUCAAGACCAGAAGAUGUCAAAUCUUCCCGAGGACAGAUUGGAAUCCACGGCGCCCUUUACGUAUUGCGGAGUUGAUUGUUUUGGCCCUUGGUUGAUCAAAGAGGGGCGUAAAGAACUCAAGAGAUAUGGUGUUCUGUUUACCUGUUUAAAUUGUCGCGCGAUUCAUGUAGAGACUGUCAAUACCAUGACUACUGAUUCUUUUAUCAAUGCGUUGCGUAGGUUUUUAACAUUUCGUGGUCCAAUACGAGUGCUUCGGUGUGACAACGGGACUAACUUUGUUGGAGCUAAGCGAGAGCUUAUGGAUGCUUUCAAAGAGAUGAAUCAUCAACACAUCCGACAGUUCCUGCUUAAACGUAGUUGCGAUUAUUUUGAGUUCAAGAUGAACGUCCCUUCUGCCAGUCACAUGGGAGGCAUUUGGGAACGGCAAAUCCGUACCGUACGCAGUAUUCUUUCUUCAUUAAUGGACCAAUCCGGUACUCAACUAGAUGACGAGUCACUUCGGACAUUUAUGUGCGAGGCAGCUGCAAUCGUAAACAGCCGACCCUUAACGACUGAUACUUUAGAACCUCUCACGCCUAACAAUCUAUUAACUAUGAAAUCAAAAAUUCUGUUACCACCACCUGGUAAUUUUCAACAACCUGACGUUUACUCUAGAAAACGUUGGAGACGAGUACAGUAUUUGGCUAAUGUUUUUUGGUCCCGUUGGCGAGUAGAAUAUUUACAGAAUCUACAAACUCGACAGAAGUGGACUCAACCCAUUCGAAAUGUUCAAGUUGGUGACAUUGUUUUGAUUAAGGAUGCUGAAUUUCCCUGAAAUAGUUGGAACUUAGGAAGAGUUGUUGUUGCGGAUCCAGACUCAGAUGGACAUGUGCGAAAGGUGAAGAUUAUGAUUGGUGAUCGUGCGUUGGAUGAUAACGGAAAGCGAGUUAAUCCUAUAUCAUACCUGGAUCGUCCAAUUCAUAAACUAGUUGUUUUAUUGGAAAACUAGACCAGGGUGUUCCCCAUCGAGGAGCCUUCGUUUUUGCGAUUACGAUUACGUUAGUGCGUUGCGGGACAUUUUGUUGUUCUAUCUUGCCAUACAUAUAGAUGUAGGCCUAUGUACAUUUUCGUUGCGAUUUGGUUAGUGCGAUACGAAUAUGGGAAUUCGAACAUUCUGUAAUAAUUGUCAAUUUUAGUCUUGGUAAUGUGCGUAUAUUUAUGUACAUGUAACAUGUAAUAUCUUUCUGCGCAGAUUGCAGAGUGUCUUGUCAUGCUUCAUUUUAUGAAAAUUAAAUGUCUUUAAUUUUGAGGAGCCAUGUAACCGAUUCAUAAAACGGGUCAGUUUGUACGUUGGAACAGCCUUAAGUUAAUAUGAUAGAAGAGCUUUUAGUUUAAGGGAUAGGUUAUUGUUAUUGUCUAAUAAUAUGAACUCUGUGAACUGUUGUAAUGUUUUUUUGAUGUAUGUUUUUUAUGUAUAUUAAUUUAUUACGUUACAAACUUCCAGGCUGCGCUACGCUUCGUAAAAUAGUAACCUAAAGCAUUGAUGUUAAAUUGUUUAAUAUCCCUGCGUAAUUAAUGCUCCCUGUGUCAGUCUUGCAAAUGGCUUUCCUAGAAACCAUGUUUUUUCGUUUUUGCGUGUGGUCAAGUUAACAGGCUCUUGGAGUUUUCACGUCUGUGUUACCGGCAUGUCUUUUAAUUCAAGUCUGGAAGUUCGAGUCUAAGUUGUUUGCGUUCAUCAUGAUUGUAUGAUAUUCUACGUUAGGCUAUUUCCAAUGUUUAUACGAUGAUAUCCUCGUCCGAUGUCAUGAAGCAUUAAAGAGACAAUGAAUAAAGAUAUGUAUAUGGUGUA